rnacentral:rRNA from 1 species
UACGGAGGUGGCAAGCGUUGCUCGGAAUUAUUGGGCGUAAAGAGCUCGUAGGCGGUUUGUCGCGUCGAAUGUGAAAACCCGGGGCUCAACCCCGGGCCUGCAUUCGAUACGGGCAGACUAGAGUUCGGUAGGGGAGUCUGGAAUUCCUGGUGUAGCGGUGAAAUGCGCAGAUAUCAGGAGGAACACCGGUGGCGAAGGCGGGACUCUGGGCCGAUACUGACGCUGAGGAGCGAAAGCGUGGGGAGCAAACAGG